rnacentral:misc_RNA from 1 species
UCUCCGUUGGUGAACCAGCGGAGGGAUCAUUACAGGACUCGCAAGACUCCUACAACCCUGUGAACUUAACUAUAAGCACGUUGCUUCGGCGGGUGUCUCGGAGGGGGUUCUCCCUCCCCGAGACGCUAAACCCGCCGGCAGCCUACUAUACUCUGUCUCUUUGCGUUGGCAUCUCGAGUACAAUCAAACAAGUUAAAACUUUCAACAACGGAUCUCUUGGUUCUGGCAUCGAUGAAGACGCAGC